CUUAAUUUUUGUAUUUUUAAUGGAGAUGGGGUUUUGCCAUGUUGGCCAGGCUGGUCUUGAACUCCUGACCUCAAGUGAUCUGUCCGCCUCAGCCUCCCAAAGUACUGAGAUUACAGGCAUGAGCCACCGUGCCCAGCCCAUCUUCAUCUUCUUUACUUGAACUUAAUUCUUUUUCAUGCAUCUUCCCUUCUUUCCUCUUUUCUCCUCCACCCAAAUGUCUUAACUGUUAACAUUCCCAGGUGUUUGGUCCUGGGCCUCUGGAGGUUGUGAAGGAGCACUGCUCAGUCCUCCCUUCAAGAAAGCAGCUUCAAGGAGUUCAAUUACAAAAGCUCCUGGCAUUGGGGACCUGCCGCCAUGUUCCUGCCCAGGGCAUGCUGGUCCUGGCUGUCACCAAGCACAGUGGAGGUCAGGUGCUAGGCCAUUUCUGCCCGACACAGGCCUCCUCUAAUGAGCAGUCUGAGGCCAGGCACAGGAGGCUGAGGCAGGAGAAUCGCUUGAACCCAGGAGGUGGACGUUGCAGUGAGCCGAGAUCGAGCCACUGCACUCCAGCCUGGGUGACAGAGUAAGACUUCGUCUCAAAAAAUAAAAAAUAAAAAAAUACUGAGCAGUCUGCUUGGGCGCUUCCAUCAGCCUGGCCAUGACAUCUUUGGAGCUGUCCUGCCCUCUUUUGCCCCGGUGUUCCUUGGCCCACCUGUCAGACCUACAUCAUAGGCUCUUCCUGUCUUCUGUUUCCUCUCCCCUUUCUCUAACAUAGGUGUUUCUCCUGAGAAAGAAAAAAACCACCUGUCCCUGACAUUCAGAAGCUGACAACACUGUUCGGUCAUGCCAUUCUCCUGUUGGACAUAAACAGUCUCUGAAUGCCAACCCCAAAGUUGCUCUCAGGCCAUGAUAAAAUAAACCACUUAAUAAUUUUGUCUAAGCACGUACAAAGAAAAUUCAAGGUCAGUUUACCACUCACAAAAUACCAAACAUCCUUCUGCUGGUUAAAACGAGUGACAGCUGCCGUGUGUGUGUGUGUGUGUGUGUGUGUGUGUGUGUGUAUGUGUAUAUGCGUAUAUAUGUGUAUGUAUGUGUGUAUAUAUAUAUGUGUGUGUGUAUAUAUAUAUAUGCAAUUAUACCUUUAUCCCUACUCUAGUCCACCUUCCUAUAAAUAAGAUGUAUUGAGAUGCUCAGUGCCCCCAUUCUGACAGCAUCCAAUCGAGUGAAUCCUCACUUCCUUGAAAUCACCCAACCAGGGCCAGAAUCCUAAAAGAGGUUCUUUGUGACACCCUCUGUCUGAGAAGUCCUAUGGUUCUCUGUGAUGAAUAGACCCAACUUGUUCAAAUACAGGCAUUUCUGGUGGGCUUUGGCUGAAGGCAUUCACACCCCCCAGUGAAUGUCUUGCACUUCUAAUUGUGUCUCGGGGCAUGCCUGGUGGAGGACCUGACUGAGACAAUUGUGACUGGAUGUGGUCUGAGAGCAGGCAGUAGGAUGAGGCUUGGGGACUGGCUCACUCACUGCCCAACUGGUAGCAAAACCCAUCUGGAGCAGCGUGUGAGGUAUGGACACUCACUCACACGAGGGGGUGGCCCAGUUGCUGAGGAUUCCACCAGUGGUACCCUGGGAAAAUAUCCCUGUGGAGGGGAAUGGGAGGAGUCAAACUGUGGAAGAUAAGAGGAGUACUGCACACAAGGACAGUAGAGUGUCUGUUCCCUGCAGAGGGAUAGUGAGGAACUGAUGAGGUGACUGUGAGUGCCCGGGGCCUCUGUCGUUAUCUUGGAGGAUCACUUUGAGGUCAGGAGUUCAUGACCAGCCUGGCCAACAUGGUGAAACCCUGUCUCUACUAAAAAUACAUUAAUUAGCAUGGUGGCGGGUGCCUGUAGUCCCAGCUACUCGGGAGGCUGAGGCAGGAGAAUCGCUUGAACCCGGGAGGCCGAGGUUGCAGUGAGCUGAGAUGGCGCCACUGCACCCCAGCUUGGGUGACAGAGCAAGACUCCGUCUCAAAAACAAACACACAGUACUGCAUCCUGGGGGUGGAGGUGAGGUGACGGUAGAGAUCAGUGCUACCCUUGGAAAUCUGACAGAUACAGUAAGAUGGUCCCUAUCAUAGUUCCAUUUAAUUUGCCAGCCUCAUCUGCAGAAUCCAGAUGGAUCCUGGAGAAAAAUUAACCAAGUAGCCUCAAUCACAAAUGUUGGGUUGGAUAUUACAUCAGUGUUAGAGCAGUUAAGGGCUCAGGUAUGUGGUGUGCAGCCAUUGACUGGGUGAAUCCAUUUUUACCUACCCCAAUUACAAAACAGUUUGCUUUCAUGUGGAACAGAUAGUAUUCCUUUCAGUUUUGCUGCAGGAACAUAUUAACUCUUCCACCCCUGUCAUAAUACAGCCUGAAGAGAUUUACCAUUAAAUACUGUUUUUUUCUCUCUCUUAACUUAAUCCCGAAUUGGAUAAUUUCUCUUCAUCUUCACUGUCACCUCUACGCCAUCACUGUCAUCUCUAGACCGCUCUGCUGUUGAGAGAUUGAUGGAAUCAUUAUGCAAACUAAAAUAGAAUGUUUUAUCUAUCAAAUUGUAUUUCUUUGUCAAUAGUGUUAGGGCACAGUAGGUUCAUUUACUGCUGGUAAGGGUGUAAAUUGUUAGAAACUUUCUGAAUGGCAGUUUGGUAAUAACAAACAAAAAGCUUAAGUUUGUGUCCUUAAAUGCCUUACUUCAAUACCCAAGGCAUAUGGCCUCAAUAAAAAAUUAUGGAAGCAUGCAAAGAUUUUGUUAACAAAGAUAUAAUCAUUGCAGGGUAGAAUUUAGAAAUUUAAGACUGAAAGAUCUUUUCAGUCACCUGCAGCAAGAAAGGAGUCAAAACCUAUGUACGAUCUCAACUAGUAAAAUUUUCUCCUUGCCCAGGGAUCAUGCUGAGUUUAAGGACAGAAAUGCAAAGUGCAGCCUGGGAAAGUGUUUCAACACACAAAAAUAGAACCACCUGUAUGUAGUCUUUUUGAAAGCACAAAAUAAAGAGCAGUCCUACAGGGUUCACUGCUAUGUCCUGAAUGUUGAUGUCCCUUCCAAAAUUCAUAUGUUGGAACCUAAUGUCAAUGUAAUAGUAUUAAGAGGUGGGGCUUUUGGGAAGCAAUGGAGUCAUGAGGGCUUCACCCUCAUGAGUAGGAUAAGUACCCUUACAAAAGAGGCUCAGGGAGGCGCUCUUGCCUCUUCCACCAUGUAAGGACACGUAGCAGGCACCCAUUUCUGAAGAAUGGGCCCUCCCCAGACUCCAUAUCUGCUGGUGCCUUGAUCUUGGACUUAGCCUCUAGGACUGUGAGUGACAUAUUUCUAUUGUUUAUAAAUUAUCCAGUAUAAGUAAGAUAUUUUGUUAGAGCAGCCUGAACGAACUAAGACACUCUAAGCGGGAAACUCACAAAAAAUAUUUGGUAGUGAAAAACAGUAUGGUGUGUUAAUGUAUGGUGACAAGUGUUUGUUUGCAUUUAAAAAUGCAUUGGAGCCUCGUUUUGAUUAGGCAGUAAAUUUACCUUUAAUACGUAAGUUUGACAGUUAUAUGUAAUCAGCUUUUUUUUUUUUAAGAUGGUGUGAUUGAGGUUAAUGUGAACUGAACUUUCUAUUUCUAAGCUGUCUUCAUCUAAUUUUACCUUUCUGUGGAAAAUCAAUACAAGUCAACCAUUUUUAUUGCCCAGUUAUUCAAAGUUUUAUUCAAAGAGCAAAGAUUUGACAAUGCAUAGAAUUAACAUUGGUUUGUGGGCCACCUUCUGGGCCAGCACCAAAGACUGAAAAAAUAUUUUGCCCCCUAAAAGUUGUUAUUGAGUCUUGUCAAAUCACAUUGCUCUGUCAGAAGGUAAGACAAAUCAGUGUGGACUGAGAGCAAGGUCAGCACCGUGAACAGCCAUUGCGGUUCCUUUAACCCACUGGGAAUUCAUGCAGUGAAGAAGCAACACACCAUGAGGCAAAUGGCUCAAACCCAAAGACCAGAGGUUCAGGGGAUAUAUAUAUAUAUUUUUUUAAUCUGUAGAGAUGGGAUCUCACUAUCUUGCCCAGGCUGGUCUCGAACUCUUGGGCUCAUGCUGUCCUACCUCAGACUUCCAAGUAGCUGGGUUUUCUUUGGGCUAAUUAUUUUUUUGUAGAGAUGGAGGUCUCGCUGUGUUGCCCAGGCUGGUCUCAAAUUCCUGGCCUCAAGCUCUCCUCCCAUCUCAGCCUCCCAAAGUGUUGGGAUUACAGGCAUGAGCCAUGUGCCCAGUCUAGAAGAUCUUUGACUUCAAAGAACAGAUAAUCUAGAGACCUUCACAAGUGAUCAUGUUGGCACUAUGGUCAUUACACUGAGACCUAUAACUGGGCUAGGAUUGGUUAUUUACAGAAAAACCUUGUGGUACUUAAUUCCAAUUCAUGUUAAUUUAUGUUAUCUUGCUUAAUCCUUGCAAAGCCCUUUUAGAGGUGGGUGUUAUCCCAUCUAUAAUCUGCUGCUUGUCUUAGACCAAGGAAGUGAAAGUAUUCAGUCCAAGCAUGCUACCAUCCAUUUCUGGUAGGUUUGGUUUGUUUUUAGUUGGCUUUCCUGUUUAACUGUUAUUUGUCUUCCUAUUGAGGUUAGAUGUGCAUUUUGGAAUUGCAUCAUUUUACAUAGAAACAGCUUUCCAGUGGAGUUGACUAGCAUCCUAAGGACAAGUACAACCACUUUUGAAAUAGAUCAUGGAAAUCACAAAGUCUGAUGUUCCACAAAAUGGAGUAUGAUGUUAUGGACACUAGAAAUACAAGGCAAGGUAUAUGGAGACCUGGAGAGGUCAAGUGACCUGUCCAAGGCCACAGAGCUAAGAAUGAGGAAGACUGUAAUUUGAAUUCAGACCUCCAGGCCAGAUGGAGUCCACCUUUUGUAUAACCCAUGCUGAAGUUUUCAGGUAAGUGAUUCAGUGUCCCUUGUCUAAUCAUCCAUGAAAAAAGGCCUUCUGGAAUUUGGUACCAGGUGCUAGAAAGAAUCCUACUUCCCCUCUUAUCUACAGGGAAAUAGAAUAAGGGCCCCUGUCCCCAACAUCCCCCAAACCUUGUGGCAGUUUUUGCAUCUGUAGACUGGUUGGGUUUGUAGGUCCGGCCACAGCUGGGGCUUGGGUCCAAGCUGGGUGAUGUAGUUAUUGGAGGGGCAUUAAUCCUGGAACUCAGAUCGCCACUCAGAAAGUUCUUUGCAUAGGAGGCGAGGUUCGGCACGCUGACCACGCGGCUGGGCACGUCCUCCACCUUCUUUUU
rnacentral:lncRNA from 1 species